AUGCGGGGUGGGGGCGAGGAGGGGCGGAGGAGCGGGGCCGGGCGGCCGGGGCACCGCCACCGGGGCGCUGCGGGAGGACGGGGCCGCUCCGCCCGGUACCGCGGCGGCCCCCGCUUGGGUCUGGCGGCCCCGGGGGGCGCAGCCGUCGGGGGGCAGCGCAGGGCGAGGCCCGGGACCCCCACGCACACACCCCACGCACAGACCCCACGCACACACCCCACGCACACACACACACACACCCCCACACCCCGCUCACACCCCCCGCACGCCGGAAUGACAGCGAAAGGCGACUCACGGCGACUUCGCAGCCCCGGGGCUGAGGGACCCCGCUCCUCCUCCUCGUCCUGCGGGGGCUCCGAGCCGCCCCCACUCGCGGCCGCUCCCCGCGGGUGGGCAUCGCCACGGGCCGUGCUCCCCGCCGGGCUGCGCCUCGCUGCUGGGCCCCGGCGCUCCCCGCGGCUGCCUGCCCUUCUCGGGCACCAAGUGUCUGAAAGAGUUUUUAUCUUUUUUCUUUUCUUUUCUUUUCUUUUCUUUUCUUUUCUUUUCUUUUCUUUUCUUUUCUUUUCUUUUCUUUUCUUUUCUUUUUUCUUUUCUUUUCUUUUCUUUCUUUUCUUUUUUUUCUUUUCUUUUCCUUCAUUCUCCUUUUUUCCUCUUCCUCCUAUCUCUUUUCUUUUUCUCUUUCUCCUUCUUUCUUCUCUUUAUUUUUUCUUUUUCUUUUUUCUUUCCUUUUCCUUCUUUUUCUCUUUCAUUUCCUUUUCCUUUUCCUUUUCCUUUUCCUUUUCCUUUUCCUUUUUCUUCUUUUUCUUUUUCUUUUUUCUUUCUUCUUCGCUUUUCAUUUUUUAUUUUUUUAUUUUUUUAUUUAAGUUGCUUCUUCCAUACUCCUCCGCCGAGAACACGCAGGACAGAGGGCGGCGGAGCGGAUCCCCCUGGAAACCCGCGCAGCUGCUGCGGGCCGGGAGCGGGGCCGGGGCCGGGGCUGGGGCCUCGCAGCCGCCCCUUGGCCACGUUUCGGUGCCGGCGACGCCGUGCCGACCCCACACGAGCUUCCCUGUCCCCGCAGCUCCCGCACCACCCAGUCCCCGAGCCCUGUCCCCUGCGGGCUCCGCCGGGCUGCGCGCUGCGGAGGGGCUGCGCCUCCGCAUCCCAAAGCGCUUGGAAAGGCCGGGGGGGCUGCGGGGCGCUGCGGGGCGCUGCGGGGCGGUGCGGGGCCGGCCGGCAGCUCCCCGUUUUCCCCCGCCCCGCCGCCCUCCCCUCCGGGGGGGGGUCGCUGGCGCCCGCCCCCGGCCCCGACCCGCGCCCCGCGGCCGGCGGAGGGGAAGCGGAGCCGCGGCCCGGCCGACAUUGUUCGCUCCGUUUCAAAGGGGGAACCUGAGCGAUUCUCAUCCUUUUGAUUGA
rnacentral:lncRNA from 1 species